AGAGGAAAAGCAAAUUAUUCAAUCAAUAAAUAGAAAAUAGAUAGAAAGCACUGCAUCUUUCCAGGCUGGUUCACGCUCUCAUAACGCAAACAGGGUGGCAACUGAAGCUCCAAAGAUGAAGUGGUUGAGAGUGAAGAAAGCAGAGGGGGCGGCUGCGCUUGGAGAUGGAGGCGGUUGAGUGCCGGUGGGUGGUGGGUUUGCGGUUGGGGUUGGGGUUGGGUUUUGGGUGGAAUUGGCAGCAAGAACAUUGACUUGAAGCUUCAUGCCGGAGGCACAGUGGCCGAUAGUGGAACAAAUGAAGUACCUUGGCCCUACCGCU
rnacentral:lncRNA from 1 species